ACCCUCUCGGGAUCGUGCCUGGAGAGUUCCUAGUACUCUACCAGUCUUGGCUACGAGAGGGAGAGUCAAGCGAAGGCAUACUCAUUCCAUUCCUAGCUUGGGCAGUAGCUAGCGAGUGGAAGGCAAGCUGCUACAUGU